AGGACGAACGCUGGCGGCGUGCUUAACACAUGCAAGUCGAGCGGAAAGGCCCUUCGGGGUACUCGAGCGGCGAACGGGUGAGUAACACGUGAGUAAUCUGCCUUCAGCUCUGGGAUAGCUCCGGGAAACCGGGAUUAAUACCGGAUAUGACCACUUCGGACAUCUGUUGUGGUGGAAAGUUUUUCGGCUGGAGAUGAGCUCGCGGCCUAUCAGCUUGUUGGUGGGGUAACGGCCUACCAAGGCGACGACGGGUAGCCGGCCUGAGAGGGCGACCGGCCACACUGGGACUGAGACACGGCCCAGACUCCUACGGGAGGCAGCAGUGGGGAAUAUUGCGCAAUGGGCGGAAGCCUGACGCAGCGACGCCGCGUGGGGGAUGAAGGCCUUCGGGUUGUAAACCCUUUCAGCAGGACGAAGCGGAAGUGACGGUACCUGCAGAAGAGCGCCGGCUAACUACGUGUCAGCAGCCGC
rnacentral:rRNA from 1 species